UUUUUUUUUUUUUUUUCUCCUAGUGGAAAAUAAUAGUAAAUAUGCUGAAUUUUAAAAGUAUUUAAGAGUCAGUUUCAAGGACCGUUUUAAGGGUCUGUUUAAAAGUGUGUGUUCAUUCUUCAUGCAAGCUAUUAGUGAAAAGGAAUGAUUCUCUCUCUCACCUUCUCUCCUUUACAGCAGGCCGUUAAUGCUUUGAGGCUUUUAGGUAGCCGUGAUCCAGUUCUGUAAAGCUUUGGAUAAGGAAUGGCUUUAACUUCCCAUCUCUAAUCUCUCCUUUCCCAUGUCUUAAUUUUGAGCUUUCAUUACUCUGAUAAUAAGCAGACAUUUCUGAAAAUGGAAAAGCCUUCAGUUCCCCUUUUGUGUCUCUUCCUGACACUGUCUUUCUUCCCUGAGAGCAGUAAAUAGGUCAGAAAUUUUGGGGAGCAGUAAAUAGGUCAGAAAGUCAACCUCUGUUCCUGACUUCAGUGCUCUGACCCAAGUAUGUGGCCUUUCCCAUUAGCGGGUAGGCAGAUUUAUGGAGCCCCACAGCCAGGAAAGCCAGUGGAUUUGACUUGAGAAACUGGGAAGAAUCUAGCCUUCCCAGAUUGGAAUGUCAGUUAUAAAAAUCCAAGCUAGCGCAGACCAUUGUCCUAAGACAAGCCUGGACAUAGUUCUCGAGAGGUAUGUUUAUAGGCAUUUUGAGGUCUGAAUAGCAAGGCUAGAUCAGAUUUAAUAUCUGAGUUACCUAAUACUAGAAAGAAUUUAGUCCAUCAGGAGACUCAGGCAGGACUUGUUGUUUCAUCAAGAAUGGAACAGUUGAUUUUGGUUUCUUCAACAAGGGUUUCCUACUUCUUAUAUUAGUCACCUCAAAGGAUUUUUUUUUAUUGUUUUUUAAUUGUUUUCAUUGUUGUUAUUAUUUUGGCUUUAUUGCCGAAGUAAGUAGACUAAAGUACAUUUUUGUCUUAAAAAGUGUUGUCUAUUUAAUCCCUGUUUUCUGGACAGCAGUGGUCUGUUAAAGCUUUAUCCAGUAAGAGAGUUUAGGCAGACAAGAUGUUUGGGAGUUUGAGGUUCUGUACCCUGCAGGGAAACUUUGUGGAAAAGAAGAGAGAUGCUACCUCCUUAGCUACAGACUCUUUCAUUUCAGUGUCCCAUUUCCUCUCUGGGACAAGGGGAGAGUUCUUGGCACAAAAGAUACUAACAACCGACUUUCUGGGAAUCUGUGUAAAUGACAACUUGUAUGGCUUUCAACUUCCCUAAGCUAGCAUAAUGGGUAGAUUAAUAUGUUCCUUCUUGGCAGGAAUGGAAACUAAUUUUUUAAAAGAAGGAGGAAAAAACAUGUUGUGCUAAAUCAGUGAUUGCCAUGGCAACAGGUACUCUAUACAUGUUAGAGAAAGAGGAAAAAUGCAAUCAGUUCUCUGGAGAGGAAGAGAGCAGAAAUCAGUUCACAAACUUUUUUUUCAUGAAUGAACAAAUACAUAUUGGACAGUCUUCAUAUGUUCUGGAUAAUCUUAUCAAAGAAUAUAGCAGAAAGUUGAUGAUAAAAUUAAAUCUGUCAUCUGCUUUGUUACAAUGAUCUCUUUUGAUCUGAGCCGCAUCUGCAACCUACACCACAGCUCACGGCAACGCCAGAUCAUUAACCCACUGAGCAAGGGCAGGGACUGAACCUGCAACCUCAUGGUUCCUAGUCGGAUUCAUUAACCACUGCGCCACGAUGGGAACUCCCCAUAGUAUUUCUUACUUGCAUAGGGAGAUUAUAUUUUGCCUACAUUUAUUGGUAAAUGAGCUCAAACACUUCUGUGUCCUAAAUUUGCCAAAACAUUGCCUUUCUUGGAAAUCCGUAGUUAUGGAGGAGGUUUCUAGCUGUUUUGUUCUCUGUUUAGUAAUGCCCAGUUGCAAGGUAGAUAAGAUAAUCUCUUGAGAUUUCUUCUUAUCUGAAGUCCUAUGAAAAAAACAUCAUUUGGUAUAUAGAUUUUUUUAAGAGAAGGCAGCCAGCAUUUUGCUCUCUCCACUUGAGGAUUGAAUGAGAAGAAAUGACAUUGAACUUGAUCCUAGAUAACUUAGUUUAGCUCUGUGUAAGAACAUCCCAGUGAUAAAGUACAUUUAGUCACUAGAAUGAUAUUGGUGGUGAUGGAGGCUGGUGACCUAAGGCUGAGGGCUCUGCCUGGGAAAAAAGUGGACUCCGGGAUCUCUGUCACUGUUGUGAUGGGAUCAGCCUUUUUGUCUACAUGACUGCAGUGUAUCAGCUGAAAAAUGAGGGCAUUUGAUUUGGCUGUCUGCUAUGUUUCCUAGAAGGUUCAGUAAUUCUGGGAUCUGAGACUAAGAGUUCUACAGUGUGGAGGCUGAAUGAUUGAUAAGGGCUCUUCUGAUCCCAGAAGACUUUGCAGUAAGGGCUCU
ensembl:lncRNA